rnacentral:rRNA from 1 species
UACGUAGGGUGCAAGCGUUAAUCGGAAUUACUGGGCGUAAAGCGUGCGCAGGCGGUUUUGUAAGUCUGUCGUGAAAUCCCCGGGCUCAACCUGGGAAUUGCGAUGGAGACUGCAAGGCUAGAAUCUGGCAGAGGGGGGUAGAAUUCCACGUGUAGCAGUGAAAUGCGUAGAGAUGUGGAGGAACACCGAUGGCGAAAGGCAGCCCCCUGGGUCAAGAUUGACGCUCAUGCACGAAAGCGUGGGGAGCAAA